rnacentral:misc_RNA from 1 species
GAUGAAGAACGCAGUGAAAUGCGAUAAGUAAUGUGAAUUGCAGAAUUCAGUGAAUCAUCGAAUCUUUGAACGCACAUUGCGCCCGCCAGCAUUCUGGCGGGCAUGCCUGUUCGAGCGUCAUUUCAACCCUCGAGCCCCCCCGGGGGCCUCGGUGUUGGGGGACGGCACACCAGCCGCCCCCGAAAUGCAGUGGCGACCCCGCCGCAGCCUCCCCUGCGUAGUAGCACACACCUCGCACCGGAGCGCGGAGGCGGUCACGCCGUAAAACGCCCAACUUUCUUAGAGUUGACCUCGGAUCAGGUAGGAAUACCCGCUGAACUUAAGCAUAUCAAUAAGCGGAGG